rnacentral:rRNA from 14 species
AGCCAAACUCCGAAUACCGCCAUACAAGGCCCGGCAGCUAGGCUCUGGGGGAUAAUCUCCAGGGCCGAGAGGGGAACAGCCCGGACCGCCCGCUAAGGCCCCCGAGUGACGCUCAGUGCGAAAGGAGGUCGAACCCCGAGGACAGCCGGGAUGUUGGCUUAGAAGCAGCCACCAUUUAAACAACGCGUAAUAGCGGACUGGUCGAGGAGUUCUGCGCCGAUAAUGAACGGGACUCAAGCGUCACGCCGAAGCGGCGGGUGUGUAGCGAUACACGCGGUAGGAGAGCGUUGCACGUGCGGCGAA